rnacentral:rRNA from 1 species
GACGAACGCUGGCGGCGUGCUUAACACAUGCAAGUCGAACGGUGAAGCGCCUUCCUUUUUGGUGGGUGUGGAUGAGUGGCGAACGGGUGAGUAACACGUGAGUAACCUGCCCCCUUCUUCUGGAUAACCGCAUGAAAGUGUGGCUAAUACGGGAUAUUCUGGGUCUGUCGCAUGAUGGGUCUGGGAAAGAUAUUGUUUCGGUGGGGGAUGGGCUCGCGGCCUAUCAGCUUGUUGGUGGGGUGAUGGCCUACCAAGGCGGUGACGGGUAGCCGGCCUGAGAGGGUGGACGGUCACACUGGGACUGAGACACGGCCCAGACUCAUACGGGAGGCAGCAGUGGGGAAUAUUGCACAAUGGGCGCAAGCCUGAUGCAGCGACGCCGCGCGAGGGAUGGAGGCCUUCGGGUUGUGAACCUCUUUCGCCAGUGAAGCAGGCCUGCCUCGUUUGUGGGUGGGUUGACGGUAGCUGGAUAAGAAGCGCCGGCUAACUACGUG